UACGGAGGAUCCGAGCGUUAUCCGGAUUUAUUGGGUUUAAAGGGUGCGUAGGUGGCUUUUUAAGUCAGAGGUGAAAGACGUCAGCUCAACUGUCGCAGUGCCUUUGAUACUGGGAAGCUUGAAUGUAGUUGAGGUGGGCAGAAUGUGACAAGUAGCGGUGAAAUGCAUAGAUAUGUCACAGAAUACCGAUUGCGAAGGCAGCUCACUAAGCUAAAAUUGACACUGAGGCACGAAAGCGUGGGGAUCAAACAGG
rnacentral:rRNA from 1 species